UAUUGGUGGGUGAAAAGAAGUGAUAACUAA
rnacentral:piRNA from 1 species